GACGACCGCUGGCGGCGUGCUUACCACAUGCAAGUCGAACGGAGUGGCGAACGGGUUAGUAACACGUGGGUGACCUGCCCUGCACUUCGGGAUAAGCCUGGGAAACUGGGUCUAAUACCGGAUAGUUUGGGAUGGGCCCGCGGCCUAUCAGCUUGUUGGUGGGGUAAUGGCCUACCAAGGCGGCGACGGGUAGCCGGCCUGAGAGGGUGGACGGCAACAGUGGGAAUGAGACACAGCCCAGACUCCUACGGGAGGCAGCAGUGAGGAAUAUUGCACGAUGGGCGGAAGCCUGAUGCAGCGACGCCGCGUGGGGGAUGACGGCCUUCGGGUUGUAAACUCCUUUCACCAUCGACGAGGUAGAUGGAGAAGAAGCACAGGAUAACUACGUGCCAGCAGACGCGGUAAUUC
rnacentral:rRNA from 1 species